rnacentral:rRNA from 1 species
GAGUUUGAUUCUGGCUCAGGACGAACGCUGGCGGCAUGCUUAACACAUGCAAGUCGAACGGGCUGAUUCCUUCGGGAUGAAAGCUAGUGGCGAACGGGUGAGUAAUGUAUGAGUAACCUGCCCUUAUCUACGGGAUAACAUUUGGAAACAAGUGCUAAUACGGUAUAAGACCACAGCACCGCAUGGUGCAGGGGUAAAAGAUUUAUCGGAUAAGGAUGGACUCAUAUCCCAUUAGCUAGUUGGUGAGAUAACAGCUCACCAAGGCGACGAUGGGUAGCCGAGCUGAGAGGCUGAUCGGCCACAUUGGAACUGAAACACGGUCCAGACUCCUACGGGAGGCAGCAGUGGGGAAUAUUGGGCAAUGGAGGAAACUCUGACCCAGCAAUGCCGCGUGAGCGAUGAAGGUCGUUGAUUGUAAAGCUCUUUUCCUAGGAACGAACAAAAUGACG